rnacentral:rRNA from 1 species
UCCUCCUUGGGGCGACACACUGUGGCAUAUCCUGACAACAGGCGCAAGCGUGUUCCCCAACAUCCGCGCGUGCGACGGAGCCCACUUCGCUGUAUAGCAGAUUAAUCUCGGAGGGUAAUCCACUUUUUAUAACCUGGAGGGUUAGGGCUGUCCCCGCAGAAUAAGUCCCGGUUAAAUUUGUUCCAGCCACCCGGUGUUAUUCGGAGGGGGCCAGCUUUAUUUGGAAUUUUUGGGGUUAAAGGUCUGUUCGGGGGUUUUCUAAUUUCGUGGUGAAAUCCCCGGGUUUAACUCAGGAAUUCCCUUUAAAGAUUGAGAGUUUGGAUUCGGGAGGGGGGGGUGGAAUUCCCGGUGUAGGGGUGAAAUUGUUUAUAUUUGGGAGGACCCCCGUUGGGGAAGGCCGCUCUCUGGCCUCAUCUUGCCCUUGAGGUCGCAAAGCAUGGGGGGCAAACCGGAUUAGAUCCCCUGGUUGUCCCCCCCGUAAACGAUGUUAACUAGCUGGUGGGGCUUUUGAGGCGUCAGUGCCGCAGCUAACGCGUUAAGUUCUCCGCCUGGGAGUCGGCGCAAGU